rnacentral:rRNA from 1 species
GACGUAGGGCGCGAGCGUUGUCCGGAUUUAUUGGGCGUAAAGAGCUCGUAGGCGGCUCAUCGCGUCUGCCGUGAAAACCCGCAGCUCAACUGCGGGCUUGCGGUUGAUACGGGUGGGCUGGAGUUCGGUAGGGGAGAUCGGAAUUCCGUGUGUAGCGGUGAAAUGCGUAGAUAUACGGAGGAAUACCUGAGGCGAAGGCGGGUUGCUGGGCCAACACUGACGCUGAGGCGCGAAAGCCAGGGGAGCAAACGGG